UACGUAUGGAGCAAGCGUUAUCCGGAUUUACUGGGUGUAAAGGGUGCGUAGGUGGCAGUGCAAGUCAGAUGUGAAAGGCCGGGGCUCAACCCCGGAGCUGCAUUUGAAACUGCAUAGCUGGAGUACAGGAGAGGCAGGCGGAAUUCCUAGUGUAGCGGUGAAAUGCGUAGAUAUUAGGAGGAACACCAGUGGCGAAGGCGGCCUGCUGGACUGUUACUGACACUGAGGCACGAAAGCGUGGGGAGCAAACAGG
rnacentral:rRNA from 1 species